ensembl:snoRNA Gm25417 small nucleolar RNA SNORA17
ACUGCCCUAGAGGCAUGGCAGGUGUGGCUGCUGUGUCACAUGUGUUUCAGUAGAUGGCAGAGAGGAAAGAGACUAUGCCUACACUCUGUGUUCUGACCUGUCAACAUCAGAAUGAUUAGAAGCCAAAGUUC